AUGCCGAAGGUCUACGGCACCGGAGUCUUCGAGUUCCGGCACCCCCGCGCCGCCGAGUACCCGCUCCCCGCCGAGGUCUCCACCUCAGCGGCACCUGACAGGACCCCCGCCUCCACUGGCGUCUCCAUUACGCUCCUCGACAUCCAGCGCGACCGCCUCACCCGCGCUGCCGCGGAGCACUGGGGCUCGCCAGCAGCCGCCGCCGCCUUCGAUGCUGACCUCGUAAGGGAGAUCUACGCCACUGAGCUCCGUGUGGAGGGCCGCGGUCGCAAGACGGUCCCGCUUCACCGUGUCAUGAUCCUCGAGGUCAGCCAGUACCUCGAGAACUACCUUUGGCCACACUUCGAUCCAGACGACGCGUCCUUUGAGCACGUCAUGUCCAUGAUCCUCAUGGUGAACGAANNNUUUCGAGAGAAUGUGGCGGCAUGGACAUCCUUCCAUGGCCGGAAGGACGCGUUCAAAGGCUUCCUAUGGCGCGUUCUCAAGCUAAAGGAAGAGGAUAGGGAUGUUAGUAUGGCAGAGAAGACAAACUACCUCUUGUUUAUGAUAAACGCAUUUCAGAGUUUGGAGGAUGAAAUUGUCCGGGAGACUAUUCUCCAGGCAGUAAGCUUAAAGUUGUGGCAUACUCUUUCUUUUGGACGACUUCAGAUGGAGCUUUGCCUUAAUCCUGAAUUGAUUAAGAAGUGGACAAAAAUUAAAAGAAAAGAAGCAAAGGAAGGGAAAAAGGCUGGGAAAACUGGUAAUUCUUCAGAAAUGCUCGAGAAUAAAUUCCUUAGGAACCUAAUGGAAGAAUUCCUGGAGAUUCUUGAUUCAAAGGUCAUAUUAUCUAGUCAAGAUGGUGGAGAAGAAUCUGUCUUUAAUGAAUCCCUUAGUGGGCAGGUUGAUGAUUCUAGUGUCUUGUAUUGUGAAAGAUUCAUGGAAUUUCUGAUUGAUAUGUUGAGCCAGCUUCCUACGAGAAGAUUUCUAAGGCCGCUUAUCGCUGAUGUUGCUGUUGUUGCCAAGUGCCACUUAAGCAUGCUUUAUGCUCAUGAAAAGGGGCGUCUUUUUGCACAAUUGGUGGACUUACUUCAGUUCUAUGAAGGCUUUGAGAUUAACGAUCAUUCUGGGACACAGCUUAGUGAUGAUGAUGUCUUGCAAGCUCACUAUUCUCGUUUCCAAGCUUUUCAGCUGCUAGCAUUCAAACAAGUGCCUAAGUUGCGAGACCUUGCCUUGUGUAAUAUUGGUUCAAUCCAUAAGCGUGCUGAUUUAACAAAGAAGCUGCUUGUCUUGUCAGAUAUGGAACUGCAAGAUCUGGUUUGCAAUAAGCUUAAAAUAAUUUCAGAGAAGGAUCCAUGGACUGGAAGGCGUGAUUUCCUUAUCGAGGUCCUAGUUGCUUUUUUUGAGAAGCGUCAAUCCCAGAAAGAUGCAGUUAAUGCACUUCCUCUUUAUCCAAAUGAACAGAUCAUGUGGGAUGAGAGCCUUGUUCCUAGCAUCAAUUAUUCUGGAGAAGGCUGUCUUGCCCUCCCAAAACUCAAUCUCCAAUUUCUGACACUUCAUGAUUAUUUGCUGAGGAAUUUUAAUCUCUUUCGUCUUGAAUCAACAUAUGAAAUUCGUGAAGAUAUUCAGGAAGCUGUUCCUCAUCUACAUGCUUACAUCAACAAUGAGGGGGACACUUCCUUUCGUGGAUGGUCCAGGAUGGCUGUUCCAAUCAAAGAAUUUAGGAUCACACAAGUGAAGCAACCAAACAUUGGAGAGGUUAAGCCUUCUGCUGUAACUGCUGAUGUUACUUUUAGCAUAUCAAGCUACAGAUCACAGAUAAAAUCUGAGUGGGAUGCUCUGAAAGAGCAUGAUGUGUUGUUUUUGUUGUCAAUCCGCCCAUCUUUUGAACCUCUUAGCCCCGAGGAGGCUGCAAAAUCAACUGUGCCUGAAAGGUUAGGAUUGCAACAUGUACGUGGUUGUGAGGUGAUUGAAAUCCGUGAUGAGGAAGGGGGACUCAUGAAUGACUAUACAGGAAGGGUAAAGAAGGAUGAGUGGAAACCUCCAAAGGGUGAGAUUCGUACAGUUAAAAUUGCCUUAGAUACAGCACAGUAUCACAUUGAUGCUUCUGAGUUAGCAGAGAAGGGUGCAGAAAAUGUUUAUGGGACAUUUAAUAUUCUAAUGAGAAGGAAACCCAAGGAAAAUAAUUUCAAAGCAAUCCUAGAAUCCAUACGUGAUCUAAUGAAUGAAACAUGUGUAGUUCCUGAAUGGUUGCAUAACAUAUUCUUGGGUUAUGGAAAUCCUUCUGCCGCACAGUGGAUAAAUAUGCCUGAUCUUCUGGAAACUAUAGAUUUUAAGGACACUUUUCUUGAUGCUAGCCACGUUGUGCAAAGCUUUCCAGCUUUCCAGGUCACAUUCAUCAAUACUGAUGGUACAGAAAACAUGCAUCCAAGCCCUCCCUUUAGGAUCAAGUUGUCCAAGAAAAUGAGGGAAAUAAGUCAUGCUCUACCCGGCAAUGUAAAUGCCUCUGAUACCGCAAGCAAGAACAACAUGGUUGAUGAUGAAGGGUCUCAGAAAGAAAAACUAAAGGUGGAGACUUACAUUCCUGCUGACCCAGUGCCAUAUCCUCAAGAUAAACCUAACCAGAACUCAGUGAGGUUUACACCCACUCAGGUCGGCGCUAUAAUAUCUGGUAUUCAACCUGGGUUGACGAUGGUUGUUGGUCCUCCUGGAACGGGAAAAACAGAUACAGCUGUGCAGAUAUUAAAUGUUCUAUAUCAUAACUGUCCUUCACAAAGAACACUUAUUAUAACCCAUUCGAAUCAAGCUUUGAAUGAUUUGUUCGAGAAGAUAAUGCAGAAGGAUGUGCCUGCUAGGUACCUUCUUCGUCUUGGUCAGGGUGAGCAAGAACUGGCAACUGAUCUUGAUUUUAGCCGUCAAGGUCGUGUAAAUGCUAUGCUGGUUCGGCGACUAGAGCUGCUUGGUGAAGUUGCAAAACUGGCAAGAUCCCUUCAUCUUCCUGAAGAUGUGAGCUACACAUGUGAAAAUGCUGCAUAUUUUUGGUUAUUACAUGUUUAUGCCCGCUGGGAACAAUUCUUGGCUGCCUGUGUGCCAAAUAAGGAGAAUCCCUCUUUUGUUAAAGACCGUUUUCCAUUUUCCGAGUUCUUUUCGGAUACCCAACAGCCUGUGUUUACUGGUGAGUCCUUUGAGAAAGAUAUGGAUGCAGCCAAAGGAUGUUUCAAACAUCUUUCUACGAUAUUCCAAGAGCUGGAAGAGUGCAGGGCUUUUGAGUUACUGAAGUCAACAGCUGAGCGAGCAAAUUAUCUAAUGACUAAACAAGCUAAGAUUGUUGCCAUGACUUGUACUCAUGCAGCAUUGAAGAGAAGAGACUUUCUUCAAUUGGGUUUCAAAUAUGACAAUUUACUGAUGGAAGAAAGUGCACAGAUAUUGGAGAUAGAGACUUUUAUACCAACUCUCCUGCAACGGCAGGAAGAUGGCUAUGCUCGUCUCAAACGUUGCAUUUUAAUUGGUGAUCACCAUCAGUUACCCCCUGUCGUGAAGAACAUGGCUUUUCAGAAGUACAGCCACAUGGACCAGAGUCUCUUCACAAGGUUUGUUCGCCUUGGUGUCCCUUAUAUUGAACUCAAUGCUCAGGGUCGUGCCAGACCUAGUAUUGCUCAGCUUUAUAAUUGGAGAUACAGAGAACUGGGAGAUCUGCCUUAUGUACAUGAGGAAGCUAUAUUCCAUAAAGCUAAUUCUGGGUUCUCUUACGAGUAUCAGCUGGUUGAUGUUCCUGAUUAUCGUGGCAGAGGCGAGUCUGCUCCUUCUCCUUGGUUCUACCAGAAUGAAGGGGAGGCUGAGUAUAUUGUUAGUGUCUAUAUUUACAUGCGUCUGAUUGGAUACCCUGCCAAUAAGAUUUCAAUAUUAACCACUUACAAUGGUCAGAAGCUUCUUAUUCGUGAUGUUAUCAGCAGACGAUGCAAGCCAUGGAAUAUUGAGCCACCUUGCAAGGAGGUGAUCGCAUGUCGAACUAGGCAACCGGACUAUAUAGCUGUAACACUUUGGCUUAGUCAUGGGAGUCUAACGUUGGGUCUACUAUGUAGCCCCUGGUACCUUCGCGUGCAUCCGAAUACGGGCGCGUAUGUACAUGACCGGGAAAUGGCCCUUCGUUAA
rnacentral:rRNA from 1 species